AUUACAACAAAUGGCUGCGAGCUAUCCCGCUUUUAUUGCAAUUGGUUGCAUUAGGUUGCAUUUGGUUGCAUUAGGUUGCACCCUCUUCAGUCUGUGUGAGAAGGAAAUGCUUUCCCUAAUCCAACCUCUCCUCCAGAGUCUACACCGGUUCACACACACUGGCGCGUCAGUCUACAGGUUUUCUGUCUCUAUUUCUGGUCUUGAAAUCACACUAGUCCAGGAACUUUUCCCUAUGACGUUUACUGUUUGGUUUAGUGUUCUCUUGUUUCUCUCUCUCUCUCUCUCUCUCUCUCUCUCUCUCUGAUUGGCCAUAGCCUAUCAUCUGUGGCAAACUAUGGGCGGCGCAAAACAGAGAGACCGGCGUUAAGCGAGUUCAUCUCCAACGAGGAUUUUACCGCUAAAGACACUUUAGAAAGAAUGGCGCUACAAAGAAUUCUGAUGGAGAAGAAAGGGACGCUGCUCUCUCGGCUCCAACCUCUACACAUUGGUGUGGUCUGCAUUAAAGACCAGCCAAGGGUUGUCUCAUGGAAUUUCACCGACAGCGGUGAGGCCAAACCAUCAGUAACAAAAGAAAAUAGGAUGGUUGUAAUUAGUGAUGGAUGUUCUGUAGCUAAACUCCUGCUUUUUGAGGAGUACUCAGCUAAGGUAACUCUUGGUCAGGGGUAUGUGAUGAGACAUUACACCCUUAGAGGACAGUCCCCACCUUACCAGAUCAGUGUUUCCAGGGACACACAGUUUUUCAGUUCGACACCAGUGCUGGUGUCACAGAAGCUGCAGAUGGAGGCGGAGAGGCUCCUCAAUCCCGUCUCCAAGAUGAGUCCCUUGAAAGGCAUCAAGAAGACGCAGGGAUUGGUGACGGUGGAGGGGGAGGUGGUGAAGAUCUCCGCCAUCAAACGGAUGCAGGUGAAGAACAAUGUGGUGCCCCUGAGGAUGCUGAAUUUACAGGAAGACAGCACACAGGUUGCAGUAAACCUGUGGAGGGAGGCAGCUGUGUUGCCACUCCAGAAGGGAGCCCAAAUAAAGCUUACACAUUUGAGAUCAGUCACAUCAAAAUAUGGACACCACCUGCAGUCCACAACCUUUACAGCAUUUGAGGACGUCCCAGUCAAAACUUGCAUUCUGGGUGUGAUGGGAGUGCUGGAGUGCGAUGACAAGCCGGGAAUGUUGCAGCUUCUGGUGCAGGAGAAUGAUACUGUGUUUGAAACUGAGCUGGCUGUUUGGCACCCAAUAGGGAAGAAAUUGUGCAGAGUGCCAUUCAAAGUCAAAGUUCAAACCGUUGGAAAAAAGAUAAUUAGUGUUGAGGCCGUUGAGGAAGAGGAGGAAGAGGAGGAAGAGGAGGAAAAGGAAGAGGUGUACUGUACUUAAGCGAAAAUUUGAGACAUUCCUCAAUAACAUUAAGCUUGACUUCAACCACCGAGCGCCAACUGAGGGUAGAUCUUCCCCUAAAUCUCUGAAGGCUAUCCGACACACUGGCAGCUAACUGAGUGUACCAUAACAGGCAUGUAAUAAAAAAAACCCUGUGCUGAGAGUCUCUACUGAGUUUUUGUGUCAUUGUCCAUUGUCGGGAGUUUGAC
ensembl:lncRNA